GUAGGUGAACCUGCGGAAGGAUCAUUCAAAAAAUUCAGUAAAAAAGUAAGGUAAGUGGCCUUCCCACAAAGAAGCGGCGUGAGGGGGGGAAUCGUGAGAUCGAGGAUGGAGCACGACUCUGAGUAGCGAGUAUUCCCUACCAUUACUCUCUCGCCUCAAGAGAUGUCCCCGGGAGAGGUGUACCCCUUGAUUGCUCUCUUACAAAAAUCCCUUGCAGCCGCCGCCAUGUGGGUUGGCCAUCAUCCCUUUA
rnacentral:misc_RNA from 1 species